ACGGCGAGUGAAGCGGCAAUAGCUCAAAUUUGAAAUCUGGCGCAAGCCCGAGUUGUAAUUUGUAGAGGAUGCUUCUGGGCAGCGGCCGGUCUAAGUUCCUUGGAACAGGACGUCAUAGAGGGUGAGAAUCCCGUAUGCGACCGGCUUGCACCCGUCACGUAGCUCCUUCGACGAGUCGAGUUGUUUGGGAAUGCAGCUCUAAAUGGGAGGUAAAUUUCUUCUAAGGCUAAAUACCGGCCAGAGACCGAUAGCGCACAAGUAGAGUGAUCGAAAGAUGAAAAGCACUUUGGAAAGAGAGUUAAAAAGCACGUGAAAUUGUUGAAAGGGAAGCUCACGCAACCAGACUUGUCGGCGGUGUUCCGCCGGUCUUCUGACCGGUCUACUCGCCGCCGGCAGGCCAGCAUCACUUGGGAGCGCCGGAUAAAGGCGUGCGGAAUGUAACCCCUCGGGGUAUUAUAGCCGCGCGCACAAUACGGCGCCUCCCGAGUGAGGUCCGCGCUUCGGCUAGGAUGCUGGCGUAA
rnacentral:rRNA from 1 species